rnacentral:rRNA from 1 species
GACGAACGGCUGGCGGCGUGCCUAACACAUGCAAGUCGAGCGAUGAAGCUUCUUCGGAAGUGGAUUAGCGGCGGACGGGUGAGUAACACGUGGGCAACCUACCUCAUAGUGGGGAAUAGCCUCUCGAAAAGGGAGAUUAAUACCGCAUAAGAUCGUAGUUUCGCAUGAAACAGCGAUAAAAGGAUUUAUUCGCUAUGAGAUGGGCCCGCGGCGCAUUAGCUAGUUGGUGGGGUAAUGGCCUACCAAGGCGACGAUGCGUAGCCGACCUGAGAGGGUGAUCGGCCACAUUGGGACUGAGACACGGCCCAGACUCCUACGGGAGGCAGCAGUGGGGAAUAUUGCACAAUGGGGGAAACCCUGAUGCAGCAACGCCGCGUGAGUGAUGACGGUCUUCGGAUUGUAAAACUCUGUCUUUAGGGACGAUAAUGACGGUACCUAAGGAGGAAGCCACGGCUAACUACGUG